CGACAGCGUAGGAGAACCAUUUAUGCAUCAGAUUGAUUUUGCAGGUUAGUCCGGCAUCGUAGAAGGACCAUUUUUGCAUCAGAUUGAUUUUGCACCUGAGUCUGACAUCAUACAAGGACCAUUCCUGCAUCAGAUUGGAUUUUGUACGUGAGUCUGACAUCGUAAAAGGACCAUUCUUGCAUUAUAUUGUGUCUAACGGGUGAACGCGAUGUCGUAAGGCCACCGUUCUUACACUAAAUUGUGUCUAGCGGGCGGACGCGAUGUCGUUGGGCCGUCGUUCUUACACUAAAUUGUGUCUAGCGGGCGAACAUGAUGUCGUAGGACCACCCUUCUGUUACCAAAUUGUGUCUAGCGGGCGAAGACGAUGCCGUAGGACCACCGUUCUGUUACCAAAUUGUAGGUAUUAAAGUUCUCUAUCGUUUUUGUAUAUA